rnacentral:misc_RNA from 1 species
CGCGCACAGGUUUCACUCUCAGCCAGUACGACCACUUUUGUCUGUUUUUCUUUUCCGCCCCCUUUCCUUGCACUGUAGAGGAAAGAGGGAGGGGCGGAGGCCACAGAGCACUUCACAAAGGAAGGCGUUGCCAAGGAAAUAGGCAGCAAAGAAAGAUGCACAGAGAAAAGGCAACAUGAUGAGAGGCACGAAGCUUUCUCUCGUACUUGUUCUUGCGGCGCAGCUCAUCGAGAUGACACUCAUGAUGCGGUCUAUUCACCCUUGCACAGGCCGCCGUAAUCACCUUCCUCGCCAUCAAUGCCUAGUGAGUUUGCUGUAAAAGCAAAGGAACCAGGAGCGCCCAACAAAGCUGCUCAGAGGUGCGUAGCGGAGCAUCCUGUACACCAUCACACAUACAGUUUCACACACCUGCGGUCGAUCCCUAGCAGAAAGAGAAUAGGUUUCUUUCGACCAGAAAUGGUACCGGUGUCGUUGAGCGCAUCGCGCGUUUCUUUCGAGUCCUCCCUCACUCGCUGCACUCUGCCUCUCUGUGCUCUUGCAGCUGAUCAUCAAUAUUAUUCGGUUUCUUGUCUUUUGUAGUGGGCUAGCAAACAGGAGACACACACGCGCACACACCAGAAAAACGGAAAGAAAACGUGAGGAGCUGUCUUUUCCGCUCGUUUGUUGCUUCUAGUGUUUAGUGUGAACAUUCACGGUGCGCAGGGUUGAAUGCGAAAACCCGUCGCCCCCGCCUUGCUCUUCGGAAACGGAGAGGACAGCAGGGGAAGAGGCUGCGAAGCGAGGCCCCGCAUUACAUUACGUGUAGGGGUAGGCCAUCAGGAACCACACAAAGACGCUAUCAAUUUCGUACAAAGGACAGCACAUCUGUGCGUCCGCUUAGGCGAAGCCAUCCAUGGGACCACAUGCGCCAUACGAGCAAGGCAACUGCGUUUUUGCUCAUGCUUCCUUUCCCUAUCCUCGCCAAGGUGAAAACCACAAUGGGCUAAAUCCAAUGAGGUGUGCCCGUCAAGUUGAGAGGGGGGGCG